AGCCUAAAACUCAAUUUAAAGUUGAGCAUGGUAGUAAAACCAUCUACGGGAACGGAAGCUCUCCGUUCAGCAACCGUAGAUGGUAAUAUCUCGAAAGAGAUAUUGGCGCAAGCC
rnacentral:sRNA from 1 species